GGUGAAUGUUGUUACUGCCAUGAGGAGAAAUGGUCUUACCUACAAGCAGCCAAUUUCUCAUUCCAGGACUCUAGCCAGAAGAAUUGAUUUCUUUUUUUUUUUUUGAGACGGAGUUUCGCUUUUGUUGCCCAGGCUGGAGUGCAGUGGCCCGAUCUUGGCUCACCGCAACCUCCGCUUCCCAGGUUCAAGCAAUUCUGCCUCAGCCUCCCGAGUAGCUGGGAUUACAGGCAUGCACCACCAUGCCUGACUAAUUUUGUAUUUUUAGUAGAGACAGGGUUUCUCCAUGUUGGUCAGGCUGGUCUUGAACUCCCAACCUCAGGUGAUCUGCCCGCCUCGGCCUCCCAAAGUGCUGAGAUUACACGUGUGAGCCACCGUGCCUGGUCUAGGGAAUUGACUUCUUUUUGACCUUCUGCACUCCCUUCUCCAAAAGGAUUGUGGCUUCUGAUGACCACUGACCUCAGCAGAAGUUGAUAAGGCAGGAGGAAUUUCCUGUUAACACAGUGGGUUAGUCCUCCUGGAAAACCAGCUGCUGAGCAUGAGUUUUCCUUGGAUCUCUCUGGGCCUUGCAUCCACAGGAAGCUUUGAGGUAGGGCCCUUGGUGUUUACAACUUCUGAGAGAGUAGUGAUGGGACCCCAAAGUAAGCUAGUAUCAGAGGGCAGUAAUGACCUUCCCAUAUGCCCAUCCUGUGGUCACCUGGGAUUUGGGUUCCCUGGGAGUGGAGGUGGGAAAUAGGAGCCCAGGGAAGGACAUUUGAAGCACCCACGGUUUAAAUAUCGACUCUUCCUGGCUAGCCAGGGCGUGCUCAUGUUGGGGCCUACCCAGGUCAGUGGCCUUUUCACUCUCAAAGAUCAGGGGUGACGAAGCAGCAUCUUAAACAGUGUUUAGGCUGACAGAUUUUUCCAGUUGAAGAAGCUGAAGUAUCUGCCUUUUGAGGGUGACUUUAGAUUACAAGAAAGACUAUCAGAUCCAAUCAGCUUUUGAAAAAUCAGGAAUGUGCUUAAAAUGCCAGUGAGUUGUGAAGAUCAGGUUUAUUUCCCAGGGUAGGCAGUCUUCCUUUCCCUCCUUUUCCAGUUCUUUUUUCCUACCUGCCCUUCUGUAAGCCUGGUCUCUAGUGCCAAGGACCUUGGAAGAAAGAGGGCCCCUAGCUCAGCUGGAGCCAGAAAGAACCUUCAUGGUGAGUGUGGUUUCCCAAACGUGGGAAAUGAACCUAGGGUGAGAUUAGGGAGGAUUUGUAGAAUUCUAGCAGGUAAAAAUCAAGCCUUUUUCCUCUCCCAUAGUAAACUUAACCAUUUUCACCCUGUACAUUAUCUUCUAGUUCCUACUAACAUCUCCAGUUAGACAACCGCUUCAAAGGGUGCUUAGCACCAGGGAUUGGGGUUCAUGGACUUAGGAGGUGGUAAGGAAACUGACUGGCACCACCAAACUGCCUUAGUGAACUUGGCCCUUCCCAGGCAGGUAGGUUGGGCAUUGAGGGAAAGUGGCCCAGUCUUUCCUGGCAGGGUCUGGCCAGUCUCAUGGGAGCACCACUAGUGUGGUGACAGAAGUGGUGUCAUUUAUUGAAUUCCACCUCCGUUUAGAAGGAGAUCAUGGUACAAAGCCCAGGAGGGGCCUUAAGAUGUGAAGAUCUCUCUGAGUAAAAGGCAAGGGGCUUCUCUUCUUCACCUCUGGGAUAGGUGGUAGAUCGGAGAGUUUUAUUUUCAGGGUCAAGGCUGUGGACUGAUGGGGAUAUUGGAGGGUGGGUGGGUUUUCCUGAGAGACUUUGUAUAAUGCUGAAUGUGUCCAGAGGGACAAGUUUGCAGAACCUCAUAUUGGUAUAUUAAAGAAAUAAUAAAAUAAAAAAGCACUUUAGGUUAUUUUAUCUUUAACCCGAUUGCUGCAAUUUCUUUUGUGUGUAUAUAUACAUAUAUAUACUUUCCACAAAGUUUAUUUUUUGCUCAGAAUAAAAAGUUAAAUUGAGGUGUGAAAAGAAAAGCACUUACCUUGGUGCAAUAUGUGUAGCUUGAUGGUCGUUGUCCCAUGUGGCCCUGGCCUGGCCGCGUUUUUCCGCUCAAUCAGCCCUGUGCUAUGAGGCUGUCCAUAGAGAAACACUAUUAUGCAUUCUCAGCAACCGCUCAAUCUAUGCAAGCCUUCCCUGUGUGCCCCAGGGCGCCCCCUCAGGCUCUCUGAAGAACUGCUGUGGGUCCUGUUUUCUGCUGACUGUUGAGGCCCUUUUUCAUCACUUCUUGGUCUCUCGCCAUCUUUUCCCUCUUCACCAUUACAAAAUGAUGCCUGAAAGGAAGGAACAGAUUGUUCCUAGGUAGAAACCUGGCACCUUCUAGACUUUGAUAUUUGUAAUCACAUCCAUUGUCCUUAAAGACUUUUCCAGAGUCAUUGAAACCAUUGAUGUGUGGAACUGCAACAGUAUUUCUCAAGAGUUUACAAUUGUCUUACACCACCAAUCAGAAAUAUGUUUGGGGGGGCAUGGGUGGCAGGGGGCAACAUGAGCCAUUUCCAUACUGGUCCCCAUACUACCUGUGUUGGUUCCUUAAGCAAAAAGGCCUCCAGCCUUCAUUAAAUCCUAUAAACAAACAUUAAAUCCUAUGAAUCAUUAUCAACUUUCUUCCUUUAUUCCACCUCCCCGAUUUUAUCUUCAAUUCUCAGGCUAUAGAAUAGGCAAGUUUUAAAAUAUAAUUCAGCCAAAGCAGAAAGAUUUUCAUAGAUCUAAUAUGCAAAUGGUUCUGCUGGGACAUAGAUCAGAAAUUAUCUGUUCCUUAAUAUUUCGGGGUGGAGGCAACAAAACUGGAGCAUAUUUCUGAUUGGUUAGCCAUAUUAGCCUGUUUCCUCUUGCAUGUUUUUUUAGGGAGAGAGGGAAGGGGUCCUGUAUUUCUUCUGAUGCCCUUAGGGGAAGCCAACGACCACUGGGCAUUUCUCACUGUUACUCCUGUUCAAGAGAGGGCUUCUCAGUCUGCACUGAAAAAUGCAAAUUAAACUGGAUCUUUAUGUCAAUGUGUACAUAGUACAAGCUUUUCUACUGGAAUUGAGGUUCAAAACCACACGCUGCCCUUUUGGUGGUGUGCCUGUUGGGCCAAAAUUGGGCGAUCACGUAGUGUCCCUUUCUCAGCUCAAUGCAGUUUCUACUUUUUCUUAUGGGAAAAUUUUUCAUAAAACCUUUUUGCACCAAAACCCAGGGGUGUUUUUUGCAAUAUCCUUGUUAUCCUCGUAGUGUGCCAAGUCAGAGGCUUCUCUUGCCCUUUUCCUGCUGUGUUCUCAGGCCUCCCAAGGGCUGUUUGACUCAACAGUCUACAUCCUUAGUUGUGUUUUGGAGAAUGUGAGGGUGGGGGUCAGAGUUCAAAGUGUCUGUUCCCUUUUCCUGUGAACUCUUCCUAGUCCGUUUGGGGAAGGUGGCUGGAAACAGAUUGUUGCUUAAUCUCUGGCUCAGAUCUUCUAGCCAGGAAAGGCAAGAGCCCCCAAGAGCCCUCUUUUUUUUUGACAUACACUAAUCAUUGGCCGGGGUCUUGGUGACAACUUUUAAAAUCCCAAAUAGUUUUAUUUGGAUUAUGUAAAAGUAAGUGUGAAACAUGGGAACAACGGACUUCCACUGAGCGAUAUGAAAACGUUACAGGUUCAGUACUUCCAAAGGAAGAAACCUCCAAACCCAAAAAAGAAUAAAUACGAAUUUGUAUUUUUGAAGAAUGUGAAAUAAUGGUGUUUGCUUAAUUGCUCAUUUUGUAUAAACUUAAUAUUGUACUUUAAAAUAUCUGCUAAGAAGUGAAAAUUUAACUUUUUGGAAUUGAAAAAGCAAUAUUAAAUACUAAUGAAAUCCUAAUUAAAUGCUUAUUUAAAUCUGGUA